UACGUAGGGUGCAAGCGUUGUCCGGAAUUAUUGGGCGUAAAGAGCUCGUAGGCGGCUUGUCACGUCGGCUGUGAAAACCCGGGGCUCAACCCCGGGCCUGCAGUCGAUACGGGCAAGCUAGAGUUCGGCAGGGGAGACUGGAAUUCCUGGUGUAGCGGUGAAAUGCGCAGAUAUCAGGAGGAACACCGAUGGCGAAGGCAGGUCUCUGGGCAUUAACUGACGCUGAGGAGCGAAAGCAUGGGGAGCGAACAGG
rnacentral:rRNA from 1 species